CCUACGGGAGACAGCAGUGAGGAAUAUUGGUCAAUGGGCGCGAGCCUGAACCAGCCAAGUAGCGUGAAGGAUGACUGCCCUACGGGUUGUAAACUUCUUUUAUAAAGGAGUAAAGUGAGGCACGUGUGCCUUUUUCUAUGUACUUUAUGAAUAAGGAUCGGCGAACUCCGUGCCAGCAGCCGCGGUAAUACGGAGGAUCCGAGCGUUAUCCGGAUUUAUUGGGUGUAAAGGGAGCGUAGAUGGGUUGUUAAGUCAGUUGUGAAAGGUUGCGGCUCAACCGUAAAAUUGCAAUUGAUACUGGCAGGCUUGAGUACAGUUGAGGUAGGUGGAAUUCGUGGUGUAGCGGUGAAAUGCUUAGAUAUCACGAAGAACUCCGAUUGCGAAGGCAGCUUACUAAACUGUCACUGACAUUGAUGCUCGAAAGUGUGGGUAUCAAACAGGAUUAGAUACCCGAGUAGUC
rnacentral:rRNA from 1 species